rnacentral:misc_RNA from 1 species
UUUCCGUAGGUGAACCUGCGGAAGGAUCAUUAACGAGUCAGGGUCUUCCAGGCCCGACCUCCCAACCCUAUGUUUAUUGAACCUCUGUUGCUUCGGCGGACCCGCCUCACGGCCGCCGGAGGACCGCUGCAAGGCGUCCUCUGGCCAGCGUCCGCCGAUGGCCAACCACUUAAACUCUGAAUGAAUCGUGUCAUAUGUCUAAGUCUAUGAUUAAAUUAAAGCAAAACUUUCAACAACGGAUCUCUUGGUUCUG